CCCUUAGAUGUUCUGGGCCGCACGCGCGCUGCACUGAUCAGUGCAACAAGCAUCCGUCCUUGGCCGACAGGCCCGGGCAAUCUUUGAACGCUGAUCGUGAUGGGGAUAGACUUUUGCAAUUUUUGGUCUUCAACGAGGAAUUCCUAGUAAACGCAAGUCAUCAACUUGCAUUGAUUACGUCCCUGCCCUUUGUACACACCGCCCGUCGCACCUACCGAUUGAAUGGUCCGGUGAAGCCUCCGGAUUGGCGUGCACCCUCGGGUGCUGCCGAGAAGUUGGCUAAACCUUACCAUUUAGAGGAAGGUGAAGUCGUAACA
rnacentral:rRNA from 1 species